rnacentral:rRNA from 1 species
UACGUAGGGUGCGAGCGUUGUCCGGAAUUAUUGGGCGUAAAGGGCGCGUAGGCGGCGCGACAAGUCACUUGUGAAAUCUCCGGGCUUAACCCGGAGCGGCCAAGUGAUACUGUAGUGCUAGAGUGCGGAAGGGGCUACUGGAAUUCUCGGUGUAGCGGUGAAAUGCGUAGAUAUCGAGAGGAACACCUGCGGCGAAGGCGGGUAGCUGGGCCGACACUGACGCUGAGGCGCGAAAGCCAGGGGAGCGAACGGG